GGCAUAGCAGAGAAGCCAAGUCUGGAAGGGAUAAACGCUGAAGGCAUCUAAGCGUGAAGCCCCCCUCAAGAUAAGACUUCCCAUUCCGAAAGGAAGUAAGACCCCUUAGAGACUAUGAGGUAGAUAGGCUUAGGCUGUAAGUGCAGUAAUGCAUGUAGGUACUAAGUACUAACGGUUCGAGGGUUUGACCUAA
rnacentral:rRNA from 1 species